rnacentral:rRNA from 1 species
GUGCCAGCCGCCGCGGUAAUACGGAGGGUGCAAGCGUUAAUCGGAAUUACUGGGCGUAAAGCGCGCGUAGGUGGUUUGAUAAGCGAGAUGUGAAAGCCCCGGGCUUAACCUGGGAACGGCAUUUCGAACUGUCAGGCUAGAGUAUGGUAGAGGAGUGUGGAAUUUCCUGUGUAGCGGUGAAAUGCGUAGAUAUAGGAAGGAACACCAGUGGCGAAGGCGGCACUCUGGACCAAUACUGACACUGAGGUGCGAAAGCGUGGGGAGCAAACAGGAUUAGAUACCCGGGUAGUCC